UACAGAGGGUGCGAGCGUUGUCCGGAAUCACUGGGCGUAAAGGGCGCGUAGGUGGUGGCUUAAGCGUGCGGUGAAAGCUCGGGGCUCAACUCCGAGUCGGCCGUGCGAACUGGGCUCACUGGAGCAUAGUAGAGGCAGGUGGAAUUCCUGGUGUAGCGGUGAAAUGCGCAGAUAUCAGGAGGAACACCCGCGGCGAAGGCGGCUCUCUGGAACGCAACUGACGCUGAGACGCGAAAGCGUGGGGAGCAAACAGG
rnacentral:rRNA from 1 species